ensembl:lncRNA LINC00507 long intergenic non-protein coding RNA 507
ACAGGUGAACAAACAGACGCAUAAUAGCUCUUGAGCUUGCCAUUGGGAAGUGAAAAUCAACUGCUUGAAUAAAUGUAAGGACUCAGGUAGACAUCACCUUGUGACUCAACAGCAGCCAAUAAGAUGGAAAUAAAGGCCAUGAAGUUAUCGGAUGGCAUCUACAAGGAAUACUUAGAUGAGGAGGUGACUCUGGUAGCAAUUGUUCUUUUGUCUUUCUCACCUUCCUUCUUGUCCUGUCUGGGAUGCUGAAGUGAUGGCUGGUAUACAGAUGCCCUGUUGUGAUGUUGAGAUAAACAUGAGAAUAAAAGUCGGCGAUUACAGAUGGCAGAGAAGAGAGAGAAAGAUAGGAUGUAGGUGGAUAUUGACGGAACUAAGUUUCUAUUGCACAAGUUCUACCACCAACCUCUGGACUUCAUGAUAUGUGAGGGAGAAAUAAACUCCUAUUUUAGAAGAGAUCUAUGUUACCUGCAACUGAACGGAAUGCUUAAUUGGCACAUCCUAUGUGCUCCAAACCUUCCUUAAUUUCUGUGUGUAAGGCAUACUUAGUCUUUACCCAUUAUUCUGUUCACAUUCAUUCACUUGAUCAGCCUCCCAACUCUAUGGUAAAGAGUUUACUACAGUUUACUCUAUUAGUAAGGGAGAUUCUGGAGCAAGCCCCACAAAUCAUAGAUUGAAUACCCAUUCAUUAAGAGAGAGAUUUAAAGAUACUUCUAUCCAAACACAUUUUAAAUUUCCAGCACCUUUGAGGUGGUGGAGGUUCAUGGUGGUUGAUAGGGUUUAAAUGACUUGUGAUUCAAGCUCCAUAUUACAAUGUAACAGUGCAAAAGUUCAUUUUUUUAAAUUUAUUUUACUUUAAGUUCUGGUAUACAUGUGUAGAACAUGCGGGUUUGUUACAUAGGUAUACAUGUGCCAUGGUGGUUUGCUGCACCUAUCAAACCGUCACCUAGGUUUUAAGAACCACAUGCAUUAGGUAUUUGACCUAAUGCUCUCCCUCAUGUUGCCCCCCAACUCCCUGACAGGGCCCAGUGUGUGAUGUUCCCCUCCCUGUGUCCAUGUGUUCUCAUUGUUCAACUCCCACUUAUGAGUGAGAACAUGUGGUGUUUGAUUUUCUGUUCCUGUGUUAGUUUGCUGAGAAUGAUGGCUUCCAGCUUCAUCCAUGUCCCUGCAAAGGACACGAACUCAUUCUUUUUUAUGGCUUCAUAAUAUUCCAUGAGUCUGGAUUUGGUUACAGAUAGAGCUGGACAAGCCUUAGCUAUAUCUAAUGGCUUUUGACAUGUUAUAUCAAUUUCUUACUGCUUUUGUAAAUGAAUAUAUUAAGAAGAAAAAAUUACAAAUGACCCUUUCUUCACAAACUUUUAGGGUAAUCAAGUUCAGUUAUUAAAAAAUGGAUGUUUGCAACAUUCAUAGUAAUUAUUUUCAGAAAAUUAAAAAUGAUUAAAAAUUAUAUUUUCAUCCCAUUCAGAUAUUAUAUAUUUAACUGUGAGAUAAUUCUCAGAGAUAAAUGUCAACUUUUAAAAAAUGCUAAAUAAAUUAAAUCAAAAUAUCCCCUCUAAAAUAAAUAAAUUAGCUCCGAUUAUUUCUUCUUUUUAAAUUUUUCCUUAUAGUUGUAAAAAUAAAGUGAACGUUUUGGCUCAUUUCCUCAUUAAAGUUUGAAUUUUCCAGUCA